rnacentral:rRNA from 1 species
AAAUGAAUAGACGGGGGCCCGCACAAGCGGUGGAGUAUGUGGUUUAAUUCGAUGCUACGCGAAAAACCUUACCCAGACUUGACAUCCGGUGCUACCCCAUGAAAGUGGGGGUUCCCUUCGGGGACGCCGAGACAGGUGCUGCAUGGCUGUCGUCAGCUCGUGUUGUGAGAUGUUGGGUUAAGUCCCGCAACGAGCGCAACCCGUGUCACUAGUUACCAUCAUUUAGUUGGGCACUCUAGUGAGACCGCUUGGCUAUAAGCCAGAGGAAGGUGCGGAUGACGUCAAGUCCUCAUGGCCUUUAUGUCUGGGGCUACACACGUACUACAAUGGGAGGUACAAAGCGUCGCAAGCCGGCAACGGCAAGCUAAUCGCAAAAAGCCUCUCUCAGUUCGGAUUGGAGUCUGCAACUCGACUCCAUGAAGCUGGAAUCGCUAGUAAUCGCGGAUCAGCAUGCCGCGGUGAAUACGUUCCCGGGCCUUGUACACACCGCCCGU